rnacentral:rRNA from 1 species
GAACGACUCUCGACAACGGAUAUCUCGGCUCUCACAUCGAUGAAGAACGUAGCGAAAUGCGAUACUUGGUGUGAAUUGUAGAAUCCCCAACCAUCGAGUCUUUGAACGCAAGUUGCGCCCAAAGCCAUUAGGCCGAGGGUACGUCUGCCUGGGUGUCACGC